GUGAUUGACACUUCUGACCACCAAUCAGUAGCGAGCAGGCACUAUUUAGAGUGGGUUGGUUUGAGCCUGGCAUGUGUCACGCCCGGAUCCUCCCCUUUUGCGGUUGCUAAAGACAUUUCAGCCUGUCUUUUCAGUGUGUGUCCCUGUUGGAUGCUGCUUUGGAUCUGUUUAUUGCCCUCCCUGCAGUUUAACAGCAGGUUAUUUGAAGGCUGCGUAUCCUGAGCGGUGAAUUGAUUCUCAGGAACUUAUCUAUCCGCGUUUGGAUCCUCCUUCUCUCCUUCCCUCUAUCCUCCUUCUCUCCUUCCCUCUAUCCUCCUUCUCUCCUUCUCUUCUUUUUCGUCCCGGGUGAUUAUUGCUGCGAUUCGACUUUUCCCUCGCUGCGUGCCGAGUGAACAACCUCGGCUUACAACUAUUUAAAAGGGGAAUUCUGCUGCUGCCAUUUGGCUUCUGUGAUUUGUUUUAACCGGUAUUGUCUGGUCUACUGUGGGGUCGAGCAACGUGCAAGUAUCGGGGCUGGCUUGAAGACGACGUGGCCGCUCCUUUUGGGUUUUGCUUCCCUCAACCUUUUAAUCAAGUUCUUCAUUGGUUUUUGUUUAAGCGGUGUAUAUGGUGAAUCAUAUUGUGCUUGGUGACUAGAGAGUGUGCUUUUUGAUAAUUAGUGCUGAUCACUCCAGUGGGUAACUCCAGCCCUGUAUGCAAUGAUUUUAUGUUUUGUUCAUUUGGAAGUUGUGUAAAUUUAUUGUUUAAUAUUUUGUGUCCGAUUGUUUAUUUUUUAUUUGUGUAAUUGUCACUGGACCAUAUUCACCAGCGAGAACAUUUUUUGUUUUAUAUUUUAAAGCUAAGUUUUCAAUAAACUUUGUAUUGUUUUAUACGA